CAGUGAAGUAGAGGCGCGAAAUACAUCAGUAAGCCACGGAGCCCGGGAAGCGAUGAACUGGCUGAAAGGGUAUUUCGCCGAAGCGCAAGAGAAGCCCAUCUCUUGUAGCUGGGCCUGUAUCGAAUAGGUACAGGACUGUCACCGGCACAACCGCCGGUGGAGAGCUAUCUCGCGC
rnacentral:ncRNA from 2 species